UCAGCCAGUCAGAACACAGAGACAGGUUAGACACUGCUGUGGAAUCAGCCAGCCAGAACAGAGACGGGUUAGACACUGCUGUGGAAUCAGCCAGUCAGAACACAGAGACAGGUUAGACACUGCUGUGGAAUCAGCCAGUCAGAACACAGAGACAGGUUAGACACUGCUGUGGAAUCAGCCAGUCAGAACACAGAGACAGGUUAGACACUGCUGUAGAAUCAGCCAGUCAGAACACAGAGACGGGUUAGACACUGCUGUGGAAUCAGCCAGUCAGAACACAGAGACGGGUUAGACACUGCUGUGGAAUCAGCCAGUCAGAACACAGAGACGGGUUAGACACUGCUGUAGAAUCAGCCAGUCAGAACACAGAGACAGGUUAGACACUGCUGUAGAAUCAGCCAGUCAGAACACAGAGACGGGUUAGACACUGCUGUAGAAUCAGCCAGUCAGAACACAGAGACAGGUUAGACACUUGUGGAAUCAAACAGUCAGAACACAGAGACAGGUUAGACACUGCUGUGGAAUCAAACAGUCAGAACACAGAGACAGGUUAGACACUGCUGUAGAAUCAGCCAGUCAGAACACAGAGACAGGUUAGACACUGCUGUAGAAUCAGCCAGUCAGAACACAGAGACGGGUUAGACACUGCUGUAGAAUCAGCCAGUCAGAACACAGAGACAGGUUAGACACUGCUGUAGAAUCAGCCAGUCAGAACACAGAGACAGGUUAGACACUUGUGGAAUCAAACAGUCAGAACACAGAGACAGGUUAGACACUGCUGUAGAAUCAGCCAGUCAGAACACAGAGACAGGUUAGACACUUGUGGAAUCAAACAGUCAGAACACAGAGACAGGUUAGACACUGCUGUAGAAUCAGCCAGUCAGAACACAGAGACAGGUUAGACACUUGUGGAAUCAAACAGUCAGAACACAGAGACAGGUUAGACACUGCUGUAGAAUCAGCCAGUCAGAACACAGAGACGGGUUAGACACUGCUGUAGAAUCAGCCAGUCAGAACACAGAGACGGGUUAGACACUGCUGUAGAAUCAGCCAGUCAGAACACAGAGACGGGUUAGACACUGCUGUAGAAUCAGCCAGUCAGAACACAGAGACGGGUUAGACACUGCUGAUGGACAGCGAAAUUCUCUAAUGAGAGCACAGAGAGCAGUUUAAACUGGAAUCAUUUGUUUUGAGAAAAUGACAUUUGUCAUAUAUUGUAUUACAAUGUGAACCGUCUGAAUGAAGGACAAACCAAUAAAUACAUGUAUAUAAUCAGACAUAAAAUAUACAUUUCAUUCAACAGCGAUUAACAGCAACUGUUGAUGUGCAACAACUUUGUUUACCUGGUCUUCAUUCCAACCCUCCUAGGAAUUCUAGUAGUGUCUGAUCAAGAGUUAGUCCUAAAUGGCACCCUAUUCCCUAUGGCCCCUGGUCAGAAGUAGUGCACUAUACAGGCCAGGGAAUAGGAUGUGAUUUGGGCUGCAGCUCUAGUGU